CCCCAAAUGUCUUGCAGACUAAAAGCCAAACCCCAAUCUUCGAAACCCCAAACACAGACGGCUCCUCCAAGCUCCAUCAUAGACGGCGUCUCCAAGCUCUCCUCCGAUCUUCCUCUCGGCAUUCUACGACUAUCAAGUGUUGAGAUUGACGGUUCUUUCGAAGCUUCAUCGGAGACGUUCUUCCAAGCUCCAUCGGAGACGGUUCUUCCGAUCUUCCUCUCCAUCUACAAUAUAUAUAUAUAUUUAGUUUUUAUUAUUAGUAUUAUAUAUAUAAUAUAUAUAUAUAUAUAUAUAUAUUCUUUUGUGACACAGGGUAGUCUGAAAUGAACAAAAACAACUAAGUAUAUAUAUAUUUUUUAUCCUUGAUACCAUUGUUAUUUUUGAAACAUCUUGCUUUAGUCAAGGAAUUAGAUAUGAUUGCAAUUGGGUUGGGUGGCUCUGAUGUUAUCUUUUGAACUUUUUUUCACUUCCUGUUCCUGAUAUUACCUUCUUUGAUAUGUUCUUUUAAGAUAUUUCUAGUCUUAUUUGUUUGCUGGGAAUGUUAUUUUAUUGUCUGUCGAUAUAUCUAUUAUAUUACUUCAGGCUCUUGAUGAUGACAUUACAGUUUUAUGGUAUUUGUUGUGUUCUUUUUUACUUAAUACUUUUAAUCUAUUUAUGAUCGAAUUUUCUAAUCCUUAUGUGCUACUAAAAUUAUUUCCAACAAGCACCUCUGCAUAAUUCUUAGUUUGUAUUUUUUUGACUUGGAACAUGGUUGUAAGUUGACAAUGCUAACCCCCAUUCCCCCCAAGAAUAAACAGAACAAAAGAGCUAAUCGUCAUCUUUGCUUAAACAAAAUUAUAUGUCUAUACUCUAAUUUAAUGAGAAGAUGCACUUAGAGACUAGAUUCUCACGGAAAGUUCUGCACAUAUUUUUUCUAUGGUGCUUCUGAGAGUUUUUGAAUGAGGGACUUCAUGUUAUACAUAUAUCUUUAAUGAUUCUUUCAUUUUUUAACGGAUUCUGAAUUAUUGAACCAUUUAAACCUAUAUGCAGCAAUCGACAAUAUAGAGUCUCAAAGUUAUGUAAUGGAUAACUUUAGAGCUGCUAGCAUGUGAUCUCUUUCACAAAUUGAUAGUCUUUAUGAUUUUUCUGUACACAAUUGUGUCCUUAGAAUAUGAACAUGAAAUAAAAAAGAAGAAGAAAAAAAUUCUGACAAAUGAAAAAGUGCAUUUUGAUUGCCUUUGCUAUGUCACUUAACUCACUUCAAUUGAUUGUAACCAUUUCCUUUCUUGGCAUGGACUGCCCUGUGUCACAAAAGAAUAUAUAUAUAAAUAUAUAUUUCGGACCUGCUCUGCCUAUGAUGUUAUCUUUCAUGGUGUUUCUAAUAUAUACUUAGUUGUUUUUGUUCAUUUCAAAUAAAAAUAAUUACCCUCUAUUUUAACAAACGAGAGCUUAUGUUUUUGGUUGUUCUUGGUGUGUGAUAUUUUGUAGUGCUUUGAGGGAUCAUAGAUUUCCUCCCAUACGCGCCGAAGAAUUGCCCUCUUAGGAGUGUACAGUUUCUAUAUUUUGACUGAUUAUGAAACUACUUGAGGCUGAUAGUUAUGAGAUUUGGACAAUAAAUAUGCAAACUACUUGAGGCUGACAUGUUAUUUUUUGCUUUAUAUUUGUUUGUUUUGUUUUGGUUUUUAAGAUUGGGACAAUAAAUAUGCUAUGUUUUGUGUGUGUAUAUUUUAACCAACCUUUCAUGCUAGUGGUGAUAUAGUAUAAUCUUUACUUGAGAAGAGCCAAUAGAUUAGUGUUGUUAUUUGCUAUAAUCUUUCAUGUUUCAUUGAGUAUAUAUAUAUAUAUAUUCAUAUGUAUUAUUGGAUUCCAUUGACUAUAUACAAAUUUUUAUUAAUGAUUGAGAGGUGUUUGCUUUUUGAUUUAUUUUGUGUUUUAAAUUCAAGUCAUGUUGCUUAUGGAAAGCUUAUUUGAAUGCCUUUGUUCCUUUUAUUUGUAUUUUUUUGGCCAAGAUUGAAGAUGAAUGCAAAGAUGAAUUUCAUCAAUAUUUGAAACCAGAAUUUUUUGUAUGGACACCAGGAAGAGCGAUUCUUGUUACUCAAAAAUUAAUACUCAAUUUCAAUGCAGUCAAGGUUUAAGGCCUUCUACGUGGUAUUGCUGUCUUCUUUCUAGAUGGACUCCUCGGGUUUUUUUUCUUGACCCUUUUCUUUUUUAUGAUUGAUUAUGUUUUAAUUUUUUUGUGGGUUUGCUUUUAUAACAGUUGAUUGCUUUUAUUUUCUCUUGGCAUCUCCUUUGGCACGAGUUGUUCAGACUUAAGAUCCUUUAGUGGGCAUUACAAAAUAAAAAUGAAAACAAAAGUACUGAAAAGGAGGCUCAAAGUCUAUUGUGUGUACUGAAAAGUCCAAGUAUCCCAAAUAUAGACAUGAUACUCUUGCAGGGCUAGUCAAUAAAAAUUUGUUAUUCCUUUAGCCAAGUACUACAAGACAGUGUGUUGAAACCAAAUAUCUCUGGGCAUGCAUUUUCAUAUGUUGUUUGAAGCCGAAGAGUCUGGAACAAGAAGGUAUAUGGGUACAAUCACGGAUAUUAGUGAUCUUGAUCCCGCUAGAUGGAAGAAUUAACAAUGGCGUAAUUUGCAGGUUGGUUGGGACGAAUCAACUGCUAGGGAAAGGCGUAAUAGGGUCUCAAUCUAGGAGAUUGAACCUGUAAUUUUUAUUUGAGUAAAUGAUUCUUUUUUGAGUUAUUAAUUAUUUACUUUAUAAAUCUAGUUAUAUAUUUUUUAAAGUCAAGACGAUUAUGUUUAUAGACAAGACUAUAUAAUUUUUGAGUCAAGUAGUAGGGUUAUAUUUGUCCAAAAUUUAUAUUAUUAGAUUUGUAAAUACUUUGUAUAAGUAUUGUUAUUUUAAUUUAUAA